AGAGUUUGAUCCUGGCUCAGGACGAACGCUGGCGGCGUGCCUAACACAUGCAAGUCGAACGAAGUAUAUUUUUCGGAAUGUACUUAGUGGCGGACGGGUGAGUAACGCGUGAACAAUCUGCCCUAUACAAAGGAAUAGCCUCGGGAAACUGGGAUUAAAACCGUAUGACACUUUUAAGUCGCAUGACAUAGAAGUCAAAUUGAAUAAGAGGUAUAGGAUGAGUUCGCGUCUGAUUAGCUAGUUGGUAGGGUAAAGGCCUACCAAGGCGACGAUCAGUAGCCGGCCUGAGAGGGUGAACGGCCACACUGGAACUGAGACACGGUCCAGACUCCUACGGGAGGCAGCAGUGGGGAAUAUUGCACAAUGGAGGAAACUCUGAUGCAGCGACGCCGCGUGAGUGAAGAAGGUCUUCGGAUCGUAAAACUCUGUCCUUGGUAAGAAGAAAACGACGGUAGCCAAGGAGGAAGCCCCGGCUAACUACGUC
rnacentral:rRNA from 1 species